UACGGAGGGGGCUAGCGUUGUUCGGAAUUACUGGGCGUAAAGCGCGCGUAGGCGGCUUUGUAAGUUAGAGGUGAAAGCCCGGAGCUCAACUCCGGAACUGCCUUUAAGACUGCAUCGCUAGAAUCAUGGAGAGGUGAGUGGAAUUCCGAGUGUAGAGGUGAAAUUCGUAGAUAUUCGGAAGAACACCAGUGGCGAAGGCGGCUCACUGGACCGGUACUGACGCUGAUGCGCGAAAGCGUGGGGAGCAAACGGG
rnacentral:rRNA from 1 species